rnacentral:lncRNA from 1 species
AACAGCAGCAGUUCCAGGCUCAGCAGAGUGCCAUGCAGCAGCAGUUCCAAGCAGUAGUGCAGCAGCAGCAGCAGCUCCAGCAGCAGCAGCAGCAGCAGCAGCAUCUAAUUAAAUUGCAUCAUCAAAAUCAGCAACAGUACAGCAGCAGCAACAGCAGCUGCAGCGAAUAGCACAGCUGCAGCUCCAACAACAGCAACAGCAGCAGCAGCAGCAGCAGCAGCAGCAGCAGCAGGCUUUGCAGGCCCAGCCACCAAUUCAGCAGCCACCGAUGCAGCAGCCACAGCCUCCGCCCUCCCAGGCUCUGCCCCAGCAGCUGCAGCAGAUGCAUCACACACAGCACCACCAGCCGCCACCACAGCCCCAGCAGCCUCCAGUUGCUCAGAACCAACCAUCACAACUCCCGCCACAGUCGCAGACCCAGCCUUUGGUGUCACAGGCGCAAGCUCUCCCUGGACAAAUGUUGUAUACCCAACCACCACUGAAAUUUUCCGAGCUCCGAUGGUGGUGCAGCAGCCCCCAGUGCAGCCCCAGGUGCAGCAGCAGCAGACAGCAGUACAGACAGCUCAGGCUGCCCAGAUGGUGGCUCCCGGAGUCCAGUCAGCCAGAGCAGCCUCCCCAUGCUGUCCUCGCCGUCACCGGGCCAGCAGGUGCAGACCCCGCAGUCGAUGCCCCCUCCCCCCCAGCCGUCCCCGCAGCCCGGCCAGCCCAGCUCACAGCCCAACUCCAACGUCAGUCUGGCCCUGCCCCAUCUCCCAGUAGCUUCCUGCCCAGCCCCUCACCGCAGCCCUCCCAGAGCCCAGUGACGGCGCGGACCCCACAGAACUUCAGUGUCCCCUCACCUGGACCUUUAAACACACCUGGAACCCCAGCUCUGUCAUGAGCCCAGCUGGCUCCAGCCAGGCUGAGGAGCAGCAGUACCUGGACAAGCUGAAGCAGCUGUCGAAGUACAUCGAGCCCCUGCGCCGCAUGAUCAACAAGAUCGACAAGAACGAAGCAGAAAAAAGGACCUGAGUAAGAUGAAGAGCCUUCUGGACAUUCUGA